rnacentral:rRNA from 1 species
UACAGAGGUCCCAAGCGUUGUUCGGAUUCAUUGGGCGUAAAGGGUGCGUAGGCGGCGCGGUAAGUCGGGAGUGAAAUCUCUGGGCUCAACUCAGAGACUGCUUCCGAAACUGCUGUGCUGGAGUGUGGGAGAGGCGCGUGGAAUUGCAGGUGUAGCGGUGAAAUGCGUAGAUAUCUGCAGGAACACCCGUGGCGAAAGCGGCGCGCUGGACCACUACUGACGCUGAGGAACGAAAGCUAGGGGAGCAAACAGG